GCUAGCUACUGUCUGCUGUACGCAUAGAUAUAUAUAAACACUAGAUGGCUCAUGGGAGAUUUUCCAGCGUAGCUCACCGGCCGCCAUCUUGCUACAGUCAACAGCUACUCUGGUACGCGCUAUGGUAGCUGUUGUAAGAAAUACCUGACUAUGCCUGACUUUUGUGCAGCCUACGGCUGCUCUAAUCGCCGCAGUCUGCAAACAAGAACCCGUGGAAUCACCUUUCACGUGUUUCCCAAAACCGGAGAGAGGAGGAGGCAGUGGGAACUCGCCCUAAGAAGGGACGGUUUUGUUUCCUCUGGCAGGACGCUGCUCUGCAGUGAGCACUUCAGGAGUGAGGACUUUGACAGGACGGGGCAGACUGUCCGGCUUAAAGAUGGUGUUGUGCCAACAGUAUUCAAUUUCCCAGCUCAUCUUCAAAGGCCGGAAGCAACAAGAAGCACAACCACUUCAAGAAGAGCGGAAGAUGAACCUCAGGCUAAUGUUG